GGAGGAAAAGAAACUAACAAGGAUUCCCCUAGUAACGGCGAGUGAAGCGGGAAGAGCUCAAAUUUGUAAUCUGGCGUCUUCGACGUCCGAGUUGUAAUCUCGAGAAGUGUUUUCCGCGCCGGACCGCAUACAAGUCUGUUGGAAUACAGCGUCAUAGUGGUGAGAGCCCCGUAACUGAUGCGGAUGCCCGGUGCUUUGUGAUACACUUUCGAAGAGUCGAGUUGUUUGGGAAUGCAGCUCAAAUUGGGUGGUAAAUUCCAUCUAAAGCUAAAUAUUGGCGAGAGACCGAUAGCGAACAAGUACCGUGAGGGAAAGAUGAAAAGCACUUUGGAAAGAGAGUUAACAGUACGUGAAAUUGUUGGAAGGGAAACGAUUGAGGUCAGACUUGCUAUUCGGAAUUCAGCCGCAAGGUGUACUUUUCGAUUUGCAGGCCAGCAUCAGUUUUCGGGGAUGGAAAAGGGUAAGUUGAAGGUAGCAGUUUCGGCUGUGUUAUAGCUUCUUACUGGAUUCAUCUUUGGGGACUGAGGAACGCAGCACGCUUUUAGCGAGACCUUCGGGUCUUUCGUGCUUAGGAUGCUGGUGGAAUGGCCUUAAACGACCCGUCUUG
rnacentral:rRNA from 1 species